UGGGGAAUAUUGGACAAUGGGCGGAAGCCUGAUCCAGCCAUGCCGCGUGUGUGAAGAAGGCCUUUUGGUUGUAAAGCACUUUAAGCGAGGAGGAGGCUACUUGGAUUAAUACUCUAGGAUAGUGGACGUUACUCGCAGAAUAAGCACCGGCUAACUCUGUGCCAGCAGCCGCGGUAAUACAGAGGGUGCGAGCGUUAAUCGGAUUUACUGGGCGUAAAGCGUGCGUAGGCGGCUUCUUAAGUCGGAUGUGAAAUCCCUGAGCUUAACUUAGGAAUUGCAUUCGAUACUGGGAAGCUAGAGUAUGGGAGAGGAUGGUAGAAUUCCAGGUGUAACGGUGAAAUGCGUAGAGAUCUGGAGGAAUACCGAUGGCGAAGGCAGCCAUCUGGCCUAAUACUGACGCUGAGGUACGAAAGCAUGGGGAGCAAACAGG
rnacentral:rRNA from 1 species